CUUAGGGUGCUCCAAUCCUAUUUGUAAAGAAGAAAGGUGAAUCCAUGAGGAUGUGUAAUGAAUACAAGCACCUGAACAAGGCUACAGUCAAGAACAAACACCCACUACUCCUAUCAUCAGUUGAAGAUUCGAGCUUCGGACAUUCCGAAGAUGGCUUUCAGGACUAGCUGUUGUAACUAUGAGUUUCUGGUGAUGUCUUUUGGGCUGACCAAUGCCCUAACAGCUUUCAUACACUGAACAACGUGUUCCAACCAUACCUUGAUUUCUUCGUUAUCGUGUUCAUUGAUGACAUUUUGGCAUACUAUCGUGGCCGGGAGGAUCAUGAGCAGCACUUGAGGAACGUGCUCCACACUUUGAGGGAGAGGAAGCAAUAUGCUAAAUUCUCCAAGUGCAAGUUUUGGCUUGAUUCAGUGGCAUUCUUGGGCCACUUGGUAUUUAGUGAGGGAAUUAAGGUGUAUCUAAAGAAGAUUGAGGCAGUUCAUAUUUGGCCUAGAUCUACAUCAGCUAUAGAGAUUCGGAGCUUUUUGGGUUUGGUAGGUAACUAUGAGUUUAUGGAGGUUUUUCAUCCAUCGCAGCUCCUUUGUUUUUCCUCUUUGAAGAUGACACACUUAAAAUCUAUUCAUGGGCAGCGCUAAUGGUGAGUCUAGCUAUAGGAACAUACGCGGGACGAAUGCCACGAACAACUUCUUCUUCUUCGUCGUCGUCAGAGGCGCAGGUUUCUUUGUUUUUCCUCUUUGAAGAUGACACACUUAAAAUCUAUUCAUGGGCAGCGCUAAUGGUGAGUCUAGCUAUAGGAACAUACACGGGACGAAUGCCACGAACAACAAAUCCUGAGAAUAAUAGAAGGGGUCAGAAUAAGAGAAGCCAUAAAAACGAAAAUUCAUGGUAAAGUAAAAUAGAAUAUCGUAGGUUUUCACUUUCCAUCCAAACUUUUAAGAAACAAAAUUUUCAAGAUCUUUGAUCCAAAGGGGCGACAAACAACAUUUUUUCUACCCAAUCACGAAAGUCGGAAAGUUCACCAAAAACUUCCAUGGUUACUGAAAAGUAAGAAAAAAUGAAUGAGAAAAUCGAAAUUCUAAAAAAAUAAUGGCAAAGAAAAAUACUCAUGUGCAAAGUUCCACUUAUCAGCAAAAGGCAUGCUUUUAUCACCCAUUAAAUCAUGAGUGGGAACAACCAUGAACUGAGAGUACCAGCCACGUUCACGAUCAUUUUCGGGACUUGUCAUACCUCCUUUUUUCCGAGGGAUCGGGAGUUUUUUCGAUUAAAGUGAUAUUAAUCAAAGUGAGAGUAUUUAUUUAAUUUCAGAGUCGCCACUUGAAAUAAUUUAUGGUGUCCCAAGUCACCGAUUUAUUUUAAAUCCCAAAUCGAGGAAAUUUGACUCUCUUUAAGAGUCUGCAAAAACCAGAAGACCGGGUAAAGAAUUCUGUUAACCCGAGAGAAGGUGUUAGAAAUUUUCGGAUUCCGUGGUUUUAGCACGGUCUCUCAACUAUUAAUAAUUGGCCUAAUUAUGUGAUUUAUUACAUGUUUGAAACCUAUUGUGCCUUUUUUACCUUUCUAACCGCUUUUAGUUUUUCAAACGCUUUUUAGGAUUUAUGGAAUUUGUUUGAACAAGUCGUGAUGUCGCACACUCGUUUAUUUUUUGUACACAUUGCAAAUUGCGUCACGCGAGCCGCACCCACGAUCUACAACAUGUUUAUUUUUAUUAUUGUUUGAAGUUAUGGCCUCAUCACAUGAAACGCACACUCGUAUUGGGAAUUACGUAUCAUGACUAUGCCAUGAGAAUCGUACAUGUAGUCGCGAUGAUUUAUUAUUAAUCGCGCCUAAAGCAACUAGCGAAUUUGAAUUAUUUUCCUAAUCUUUGAGAUUAUUGUGAAGGCCAUAGGUUAUGAAAAUUAUUGUGGGAGGAAUAAAAUAAAUUAGUUAUAGACAAGUGUAUUAGCUUGUGAUCUUAUUGAUAUUUUGGAUCAGUUUCUAUCUAAACCCAUAUAUACUUAAAAAGGGUCAAUUUCUACAUGAUCAAACAGAAUCUUCAAUAUUUCCAAACCAAUUAAUUGUGAAAUGCAACAAAGGUUUAAACUGACAAUUUUAUUACGGCAAAAUGAAACAAAAUAAAGUAAAGUUCAAAGAUACAGAGAUAAACUAAAACAAAAUAUCAUGCUCGGUCUGAUAUUUAUGAAAAGAUACCAUAAAAUGGAGGAGCUUUUUUUACUUGUUUUUCAACUUUUCCUCAUAUUGCCGUGCAGCUAAUUAUCAGUAAUCAUUGCUAUGGCACUAGAUGCACUUAUUCUCUAUAUGAUAAUAGCAAUAUGAUUAUUACAUGAAAUUGUCUGGGAAAGAAAAAUGAGAAAGUGGGGUUGUUGUGAAUGGCAAGUUAAUUUGCUCCUGUUCUGCUUUUCUCUUUAAGGAAUUUAUUUCCAUGCCUAAUAGUUUCUGCUGUGUCAAAAACGUGAACCUUUACAUUGAAAGCAUUCUCGUUCAGUACUAACAAAUUAACGAAAAUAAAAGUAUCAAAAAUUAACAUGGCCAACAGGGAUUUGAUUAAUUACAGAAGAGGAAUUUCAAUUACAGACCCACCAACACAUGAAUCCAUCCAAUUACAUGAAUAAUUAUUCAUUUAUAGUGGCUAAACAUAUAAACAUAAGAAAAUUUCCAAUUACAUGGCCGUGGAUUCCAUUAGGUAAAACGUUAAUAAAAAACGACGGAAGAAAAGCACAUAUUAAACAACAAAAUCAUCUAUUAUGUGACAUACUAACAUAGUUUCAUUCAUAAAAAUUACAACGAAUUAUGUAUGGACUUAGAUCAUACCUAGAUUACCGAAUAAACAGCAAGGAGAGACCAAAUGUGGAACUCAUCAAGCAAUCCCAGCCGAGAAAUAACAGAAUUUCUAGUCGUGCGAAAACAAACAGUGAAACCGAAUAAAGGCUGAGAAGGAAACAAAUGAAGCUGAGCGAAGCAGUAAUCAGCAGCAACGAACUUAACCUUCAGCAGCUUUUAAACCCAGAAAAUCAUUACCCAAAGCUUGUUUUCAGAUCUCUUUUUGAGUUUUUGAAUUUUUGAAAGUUUUCGUUUCUAGCUCUAAGCUGAGUGCUUCUCGUGUGUGAGCCUUCAGAUGUGUGUGUAUCGACUGAUUUUUUAGAAGAGAAAGAGUGAGGUCUAUCCGUCUUCUGCUCUCUUGUUGAAGAUGAGAAGGUGAGAGAUAGAAGAGGGGGUAACGGCGCUAGAUCUUAAGGGCGGGAUCUGAUUAUUUCUUUGAGGGU
rnacentral:lncRNA from 1 species